GGAUGUGAGGGCGAUCUGGCUGCGACAUCUAACCCCAUUGAUCGCCAGGGUUGAUUCGGCUGAUCUGGCUGGCUAGGCAGGUGUCCCCUUCCUCCCUCAAUGCUCCAUGUGCAUCCUUCCUGAAGCUGCGCACCACCCGGGAUAGAGGAGGACCGUUCCUUGGUCAAGGGUAUAUGAAUAGCUGUGCUCCCCUGCUAGAACCUCCAAACAAGCUCUCAAGAAUCUGCCUAAGACCCAUGUGUGGUGGUACACAUACCUGUAAUCCUAGCACUCAGAAAGCCGAGGCAGGAGGAUGGCUGGGAAUU
rnacentral:snRNA from 1 species